AUUGAACGCUGGCGGCGUGCUUAACACAUGCAAGUCGAUCGGUAACGCGGGGGCAACCCUGGCGACGAGAGGCGGACGGGUGAGGAACGCUUGGGAAUCUGCCUAUCAGCGGGGGACAACACGGGGAAACUCGUGCUAAUACCGCAUACGCUCUACGGAGGAAAGCCGGGGACCGCAAGGCCUGGCACUGAUAGAUGAGCCCAAGCCGGAUUAGCUAGUUGGCGGGGUAACGGCCCACCAAGGCGACGAUCCGUAGCUGGUCUGAGAGGACGAUCAGCCACACGGGAACUGAGACACGGUCCAGACUGCUACGGGAGGCAGCAGUGGGGAAUAUUGGACAAUGGGGGAAACCCUGAUCCAGCGACGCCGCGUGGGUGAAGAAGGCCUGCGGGUUGUAAAGCCCUUUCGGUAGGGACGAAAGCUCUCGACCUAACACGUCGGGAGGUUGACUUAACCUACAAAAGAAGCACCGGCUAACUCUGUGUCAGCCGCCGCGGUAACAC
rnacentral:rRNA from 1 species